CUACGGGCUGCUGCAGUGAGGAAUUUUGCGCAAUGGGGGAAACCCUGACGCAGCAACGCCGCGUGAGCGAAGAAGGCCUUCGGGUCGUAAAGCUCUGUCGAGUGGGAAAAAAAUUCUUUGAUGAACAGUCAAAGGACUUGAUGGUACCACUGGAGGAAGCACCGGCUAACUCCGUGCCAGCAGCCGCGGUAAUACGGAGGGUGCAAUCGUUGUUCGGAAUUACUGGGCGUAAAGAGCGUGUAGGCGGUUUGACAAGUCAGAUGUGAAAGCCCCGGGCUCAACCCGGGAAGUGCAUUUGAAACUGUUUCACUAGAGUAUGGGAGAGGAGAUUGGAAUUCCUGGUGUAGAGGUGAAAUUCGUAGAUAUCAGGAGGAACACCCGUGGCGAAGGCGAUUCUCUGGACCAAUACUGACGCUGAGACGCGAAAGCGUGGGGAGCAAACAGGAUUAGAUACCCCUGUAGUC
rnacentral:rRNA from 1 species